rnacentral:lncRNA from 1 species
UUGAACGUCUAAUCAACUCUAACUUCGAUUAUUACUUCAAACGGACAUGUGAGGCCUUGUUGGAACCUAUCACCCACAAUAUAACUAUAAAAAAAUAUAACAACCCAUAAAUCAAAUUUCUAGCCAUCUCUAACACCUUAAAAUCAAAUUCUAACUCAUUUCUCACCUUGGUGGUUUUUUUUUUGUAGUUGAAUUCCUUUUCAAAAGCUUCCAAGCUACUCUAGCAAGUCUUUCUUUCUCUCUCUAAAACUUUCAACUAGUGAGAGAAAGUGCUGAACAAAGACUUUUUGAGGGUUUUAAGGUGUAAAAGUGGAAGAGCAUGAAAAACCGUAUGAAAGAAUGGGCAAAAGCAUGAAAUUUGGAGCUAGAGAGAGAAAGUUAUGAAGUUUUCAUACCAUGCUUCCAUAAAGAGGGAAACAAACGUGAGAUGGAA